rnacentral:ncRNA from 1 species
UUUUAUUUUUUAUAAUAUUAAGUUUGAUUUUGGUUUUAGUUGUAUUAAGAUAGUAUUACUUAUUUUUAGUUUAUCGAGUGUGUAAUUUUUUGUUCACUGGUAGUUUUUUAAUUGUUUUAUUGAUGUUCCAGAAUAAUCGGCUAUACAUUUUAAUUUUUAACUCUAUUUGUUGUAAUAUUACGAUUUUUUUUGUUUUUUUGUUUUAUGUUUUUUUUUGUAAAAUAUUUAAAUUUAUUUAUGUUUUUUUGUAAUAUUGAAAAUUUGGUGUUUGAACUGGAUUAGUACCCAGGUAAUCAAAAUUUAUUAAUUCGGGAGUAAAGUUUUGUUUAAACCGAAAAAAUAUUGACUGACUUUAGAUUUUUCUUUGGAAUAUGUGUUUUUUUGGAGAGCCCUCUUUUAUAGUGAAUUUUGUUGGCGCAUGUAUGAUUGUUUAGUUUUUACUUUUUUGGUAAUGCUUUGUGUUUUAUACAUUUAAAACAGAUAUAUAUUUGGCUUAUGGAUUUAUUUUUCAUGUGUUACUAUUGUUAAUUUUCUUUGGAUUAAUUUUUAAUUUUUUUGUUGAAAUUGGAAAAGAAAGUAAUUUUUUCUUAAUGUAAUAAUGAAUUUAAUAAAUAAAGUGGUACAAACCAUCCGUCAAUGGCCUAAAGGGGCGUAAGUUGUAGUAU